rnacentral:rRNA from 1 species
GGCAGCAGCCAUGUCAUCCAGCAUCUCACCACUGGCAGCCCACCCAGCAGGUGUGAGCCUGGUCAGUACCUGGAUGGGAGACCUCCUGGGAAAAACUGAGGUUGCUGCUG